AAUAUAUAAUUAGCUUUUGAUGAGUCGAUCGAGUAGAGCUGCAGCUUCGGCAGCUCAGAGAACGACCUAAGCUCUACAUCGUUUGGAUCUGCAACUCCAAAUCUAAUUGCGACAAUAAGAAUGGGAUGGGUCUUCGAUCAACAACAGGAGCUCAAAGCCUCUAUGCAAGGAAGAGGAGAGAAAGAACCAACGAGACUGAGAGUUUAGCGUUACCUCUGGCAUCGUCCUCGAUGGAUGAGGAAAGAUGAGCCUGUCAGGUCACCUGACCUGCACUUAUUGCUGUUGCAGACUCGGAAUAUUAGACCUUCCAUCUCUUCCAGAGAGUCCAGGCGUCGUAAUCUAAGCAGAAGUCAAGAAGAGAAGGUGCAGUCUAUGUAGCUUGGAUCAAAGCCUGAUUCAUACUGCUGUUGUUUGCUAUGGUGCUGAGACAUUGUUUGCUGUAUGUAGGUUCUGACACUGUUCUUACCAUACUCUUUUGCGUCCUUCACAAUCAUCUGUUGAUCCAAAACCAAUUAAUUCAUCCACUGCUGUCCAAAACACAAUAAAAAUAAGUAGGUGUAUCUGCUUUCCUCAUCUAUUAAUGUGUCAGCUGUAGGAUCUGAAAUCAA